AGGCUGUCCAAGCCCCGGUUUGGCACGUCUGCUGCCACUGGGUAUGACUCAGGAGCACCCAAGCCACAAGACUCCUUUCUGAGGGGGAAGAGGAAGAUCAGGACACUGUCCGUAGCUCAGCAAGAAACGCUGGGAAGCCUCGGAAGGGACAGGGCAGAUGCUGAAGAAACACCAGCGAAAGGAAGACGUUCGGGCGCUGCCCAUGGUCCUUGUUCUGUGUAUCCUGAGGGAGACGAGUGCCUGACUUAUGUCCCGAAGUAGUACUGCAGCCAUGAAGAGUGGGCUCACCAACUCCACUGGUUUGGGGACUCUGGGGGCAAUGCCAACCAGUUUGAAACCAGAGAAGAACGUGAGACAUGGUGUAGGCCACGCCUUGUAACUGGUGCUCUCCCCUUCCCUUAACAGUUAGACAGUGGGACUGGCAUUAGCCUUGCUGAGGUAGGCUACCCAGCUCAUGGAUGACAAAGCCUGCUCUGUAACCCUGGACAUUGUAACUCCCUCCACUGUUUCCUGCCUGUGUAGGCUUAGGCUAGAUCAUUUGUAACUGAGGAUUAAAUUCUGUUUUUCUCUCAUUUAACAA
rnacentral:lncRNA from 1 species